rnacentral:rRNA from 1 species
AUUGAACGCUGGCGGCAUGCCUUACACAUGCAAGUCGAACGGCAGCGGGGGAGAAGCUUGCUUUUCCUGCCGGCGAGUGGCGAACGGGUGAGUAAUACAUCGGAACGUGCCCUGUAGUGGGGGAUAACUAGUCGAAAGAUUAGCUAAUACCGCAUACGACCUGAGGGUGAAAGUGGGGGACCGCAAGGCCUCAUGCUAUAGGAGCGGCCGAUGUCUGAUUAGCUAGUUGGUGGGGUAAAGGCCUACCAAGGCGACGAUAAGUAGCUGGUCUGGGAGGACGAUCAGCCACACGGGGACUGAGACACGGCCCAGACUCCUACGGGAGGCGGCAGUGGGGAAUUUUGGACAAUGGGCGAAAGCCUGAUCCAGCAAUGCCGCGUGUGUGAAGAAGGCCUUCGGGUUGUAAAGCACUUUUGUCCGGAAAGAAAUGGCUCUGGUUAAUACCUGGGGUCGAUGACGGUACCGGAAGAAUAAGGACCGGCUAACUACGUGCCAGCAGCCGCCGCAG